rnacentral:rRNA from 1 species
CACGUAGGGGGCGAGCGUUGUCCGGAUUUAUUGGGCGUAAAGAGCUCGUAGGCGGCUCGGUAAGUCAGGUGUGAAAACUCUAGGCUCAACCUAGAGACGCCACCUGAUACUGCCGUGGCUAGAGUCCGGUAGGGGAGCAUGGAAUUCCUGGUGUAGCGGUGAAAUGCGCAGAUAUCAGGAGGAACACCAGUGGCGAAGGCGGUGCUCUGGGCCGGAACUGACGCUGAGGAGCGAAAGCUGGGGGAGCGAACAGG